GCGGAUAUGGCCGAAUGGUCAAAUUUAUCUUUGCCGAGGAGAAGACGCGGGUUCGAUUCCCGCUAUCCGCC
rnacentral:tRNA from 1 species